CCAGCUCCAAUAGCGUAUAUUUAAGUUGCUGCAGUUAAAAAGCUCGUAGUUGGAUUUUGGGUUGGAGCGCUCGGUCUGCCUCUCCAGGUUGAAUCUGAGCGCUGCAUCCUUUCAUGUCGAACGCGCGUCCUGGCCUUCACUGGCUGGGACGCGGGGUCGGCGAUGUUACUUUGAAAAAAUUAGAGUGUUCAAAGCAGGCCUACGCUCUGAAUACAUUAGCAUGGAAUAACGCGAUAGGACUCCGGCUCUAUUGCGUUGGUUUUCGGAACCGGAGUAAUGAUUAAUAGGGACGGUUGGGGGCAUUCGUAUUUCAUUGUCAGAGGUGAAAUUCUUGGAUUUAUGAAAGACGAACUUCUGCGAAAGCAUUUGCCAAGGAUGUUUUCA
rnacentral:rRNA from 1 species